AUGCCAACGUUAUAUGUUUUAUUUUUAAUCAAGUAAUUUUUUUAAACCUCACAAUAUCCAUGACUGACAGGAAAAAAAGACAUUAGGCAUGAAAUGAGAAUAUAAAAUACAUGAUAUGUAGAAAGGCAAUCAGUGCUUUAGUCCCUCAAGACAGUAAACAGGUGAAAUGACCUUCAAAACUUCAACUCACUGUCUUUUUCUUAAAACUUAAAAUUCAAGUGAUUUUUCUUUUAUUUCACCUUGUAAACAACAUACAAGUCAAAAUGGACAAUGAGGUAAUCUAUACUACAGAAGAUAAUUUAAAAACACUAGAUAAGACACAGUACUAAAGACAUAUAGAAAUCAGUGUUCACUUUGGUCUCUAGUAUGGUUAUUGUUAUUAUUACCACAAGCAACACAUACUAGUUUAAGCCAGUCUGGUGAUGUUUGUCAGCCAGUUGUUGCUUAACUUAGUAAUCCAAGAGGUAGUCAAAACCAUUAUCCUUUGUAAAGAUAGUUGUUCUUACGUUUGGUUCCACGACAAUGGUAGCAAAUACCUAGGUACUUCUUGACAUUCUCAUAAAAGCACUGCCGAAGCUGCUUAAUAUACAUCUCCGGUUUAUAUAAAAAACAGAAACAUGUGUUCAUAAAUCAACCUCUUGUUAUCAGUCAACAGUUGUAACAGGGGUACACAACCAACGGAUCUUAAAGAAGAGGCUGUUGAUAUACUAGGCAAAAUAAGAUCGAUGCAUUUAACAAGGCUCUGCUUGUUUCUAAAACAAUACUCAAAUCUCAUUAAGACUUCUAGAAAAUUAAAAUCAGUGCAUCUGCACAUGUACAUAUCUUCCCAAUUACUUUUAUAUCUAGCACAGGGGAAUACAUAUAUAUUUUUUAUGAUAAACAUUUCUUACAGAUAAAUUAAUUAAAUUAAAUUUAAGAUGAGAUUUCCCAUGUUCUUUUAUAAUUCUUCUUACAAAGAAUGUUACAAGAUUUAUAAACACUUUUUAUGGGGCUCUAUUCACAAAACUAAAAG
rnacentral:lncRNA from 1 species